rnacentral:rRNA from 1 species
CUGCGAACGGCUCAUUAGAGCUUAUAUAAAGUUUCCGGCUGCCUUUUAGGCUAUCUUCGACAAAUUGAAGCUAAUACACGCAAACAUGUCCUUUUCGGAGGGCGCGAUAUUAGAACUACUGGCUUGCCGGCGGUUGAAUUCAAUUAUCGUUUUAUAUCGGAAGGCGACUUCCGAUGGCCGGAAACUGUGUACGCCCUAUCACCCAGCAGGUUAGUUAUUCGCUAACCAGGGGUAUUACGGGUAACGGAGAACUAGGGUUCGUCUCCGGAGAAGAAGCCUUUGAAAGGCUACUACAUCCAAGGAAGGCAGCAGGCGCGUAACUUAUCCACUACCACAGUGAGAUAGUAACUAGUCUUAACUAUUGACUGAUCUUUUAGGUUAGUCAUGGUCCAUGAGUUGAGCCUAAAUAGCUCUUCGAGGACCAAGUGGAGGGCAAGUCUGGUGCCAGCAGCCGCGGUAAUUCCAGCU